rnacentral:rRNA from 1 species
AACGACUCUCGGCAACGGAUAUCUCGGCUCUYGCAUCGAUGAAGAACGUAGCGAAAUGCGAUACUUGGUGUGAAUUGCAGAAUCCCGUGAACCAUCGAGUUUUUGAACGCAAGUUGCGCCCGAAGCNUCCGGCUGAGGGCACGUCUGCCUGGGCG